rnacentral:RNase_P_RNA from 17 species
CCAGGUGGAGAAGUAGCCGCUGUGCCGCGUUGUACAGAGGAAAGUCCGGACUCCAAGGGAAGAUGGUGGCAGGUAACUCCUGCCGGGGGUAACCCUAGGUUAGGGCCACAGAAAAUUACCGCCUCUACGAGGUAAGGGUGAAAAGGUGCGGUAAGAGCGCACCGUGCUCGUGGUGACACGUAGCAGCCAGGCAACCACCACCAGGAGCAAGGCUAAGAAGGGUAUUGUGUCUUCUCUCAUGUUACCCGGGUAAGUCGCUUGAGGUAAGUAGCGAUGCUUGCCCCAGAUGAAUGGCUACAUAAACAGAAUCCGGCUUAUCUCCACCUGGUCCG